rnacentral:miRNA from 1 species
UUUUUAGCAUAAGUAUUUCCCAAGCAAUAUUUUGGACAUAGUUAUACAAAA